rnacentral:lncRNA from 1 species
CACUAGCAAAAGGGCCCAUGCGUUGCACGGGGUGUACAAAAAAUAUAUAUAUGUUUAGACAGUUGGAAAAAACUACCACAAGGAUAAGAUAUUGCGUGGCCGCGUGAACCAGUUUGAGAUAUUUCAAACGCGCUCAAGGAUAAGGAAUGAGAUAUUUGAAAGAUAUGCAGGUCAAGAAAGAGUACACAAUAUCGUUGUCAGUAGGUGCAACCAUGCAGAAACAACUGACCUCCAGUUCUACCAAAGAAAAGAUCCUCGCCACCACAGUUAAAAUCAUCAGCUCCUUUAGUCUUCAUAGUGAAAUUGAUAUGAUAGUACCUACGAC